rnacentral:lncRNA from 1 species
UUACCUUUUUAAUAUAUAUUUCCACAUAUAUUAAUUUUUAAUGAAAAAAUUCCAUUUAAGUUAUAUCAAUAAUGUUUUAUAGUAUCAGAUCCAGAGAUGACAAAAACCAUUCUUAUGAAGAAAUGUCCUGUUUUUACUCUAUAGAAUCUUGUGAUGCUUGCACCGGAAAUAGAGAAAAGCAUUAUUAACUUGUUUCCCUUGAGAAUUUUAGUAGGGCAUACUUAUAAAUGUAAUCACGAUCAAAUGAAAACUUAGUACUGCUGCUGUGGAGUUUGUAAUAAGUUGUAGUGUGUUUUAACUAUCCCAACUGGCUUUAAUCCAAGUAAUUUGUUUGCAGGCUUAGAUAUAGUACAACUCAGGAAAGACAUGUGGUGACUAUUAACCCUAUCAGUAAAAAAUUUCAUUUUCUAAGUAGUAAGAUUUUGUUCAUAUUUAGUAUAUACUUAAGAAAUAUAUAACAUAUCACU